AACGAACGCUGGCGGCAUGCCUAACACAUGCAAGUCGAACGAGACCUUCGGGUCUAUUGGCGCACGGGUGCGUAACGCGUGGGAACCUGCCCUUAGGUUCGGAAUCACUCCCCGUAAGGGGAGCUAAUACCGGAUAAUGUCUUCGGACCUAAGAUUUAUCGCCUUUGGAUGGGCCCGCGUUGGAUUAGCUAGUUGGUAGGGUAAAAGCCUACCAACGCGACGAUCCAUAGCUGGUCUGAGAGGAUGACCAGCCACACUGGGACUGAGACACGGCCCAGACUCGUACGGGAGGCAGCAGUGGGGAAUAUUGGACGAUGGGCGAAAGCCUGAUCCAGCAAUGCCGCGUGAGUGAUGAAGGCCUUAGGGUUGUAAAGCUCUUUUACCCGGGAUGAUAAUGACAGUACCGGGAGAAUAAGCUCCGGCUAACUCCGUG
rnacentral:rRNA from 1 species